rnacentral:rRNA from 1 species
GAUGAACGCUAGCGGCAGGCCUAAUACAUGCAAGUCGAACGGGCGGUAGCAAUACCGCUAGUGGCGCACGGGUGCGUAACGCGUAACCAACCUGCCCAGAUCUGGGGGAUAGCCCGCCGAAAGGCGGAUUAAUACCGCAUAAACCCACAGUGUGGCAUCACAUAAGGGGUAAGAAUUAUUGGGACCGGGAUGGGGUUGCGUAGCAUUAGCUAGUUGGCGGGGUAAUGGCCCACCAAGGCGACGAUGCUUAGGGGACCUGAGAGGGUGAUCCCCCACACUGGCACUGAGAUACGGGCCAGACUCCUACGGGAGGCAGCAGUAGGGAAUAUUGGGCAAUGGGCGAGAGCCUGACCCAGCCAUGCCGCGUGCCGGAUGAAGGCCUUCUGGGUUGUAAACGGCUUUUCUCAGGGAAGAAAACGGGGAUGCGUCCUCAACUGACGGUACCUGAGGAAUAAGCACCGGCUAACUCCGU